rnacentral:rRNA from 1 species
UACAGAGGUCUCAAGCGUUGUUCGGAUUCAUUGGGCGUAAAGGGCGCGUAGGCGGCCACCGCAAGUCGACUGUGAAAUCUCUGGGCUUAACCCAGAAAGGUCAGCCGAUACUGCGGGGCUAGAGUGCAGAAGGGGCAACUGGAAUUCUCGGUGUAGCGGUGAAAUGCGUAGAUAUCGAGAGGAACACCUGCGGCGAAGGCGGGUUGCUGGGCUGACACUGACGCUGAGACGCGAAAGCGUGGGGGAGCGAACAGG